rnacentral:rRNA from 1 species
UACAGAGGUCUCAAGCGUUGUUCGGAUUCACUGGGCGUAAAGGGUGCGUAGGCGGCCGUGCAAGUCUGGCGUGAAAGCCCCGGGCUCAGCCCGGGAAGUGCGCUCGAAACUGCGCGGCUCGAGUGCCGGAGGGGAGAGUGGAAUUCCUGGUGUAGCGGUGAAAUGCGUAGAUAUCAGGAGGAAUACCGGUGGCGAAAGCGACUCUCUGGGACGGUACUGACGCUGAGGAGCGAAAGCCAGGGGAGCAAACGGGG